rnacentral:rRNA from 1 species
GACAGAGGGGGCAAGCGUUGCUUGGAAUCACUGGGCGUAAAGCGCACGUAGGCGGAUAUUUAAGUCAGGGGUGAAAUCCCGGGGCUCAACCCCGGAACUGCCUUUGAUACUGGGUAUCUAGAGUCCGGAAGAGGUGAGUGGAAUUCCGAGUGUAGAGGUGAAAUUCGUAGAUAUUCGGAGGAACACCAGUGGCGAAGGCGGCUCACUGGUCCGGUACUGACGCUGAGGUGCGAAAGCGUGGGGAGCAAACAGG